UGAGAGUGGGGUACCCUCUUGCUAUGGGAGGAUAUCCAAGUGUGUGACGAGAUGUGACUCGUUGUCUUGGGUAAGGAAGGAUGGCUUCAUGCCCGGCUAGUAAAUGAAUCUGUCUUGCGGUGUUGAUGUGAUUACCAGGCCCUGCUGUGGACCUGAUAAGGGGAGUUCUUCAAGAGAGUCCAAGUCGCAGUCGUGGUCUUCAAUUGACUCUAAUCCGGAUUGGACUUUCGAUUGAGCUUUUUGAUGAACCGUGACCGUGUUUCGGAGUCCGAGCGGAAAUCGACUUGGAGUUGUAUCCGGUCCACACAAUGGCUGAAUUGCCUGCUCGCACGAACUAGUUCGAGUUCUGGUCAAAC
rnacentral:lncRNA from 1 species